rnacentral:lncRNA from 1 species
AAAAAAAAAAGAGUGAGAAAAUUGAAAAAAUGGGUACAUAGGAUACAUUAGAAGGUCAUAUUAUCAUGGGAGAUAAUUGUUGUGUUGUGGUGAAUUAUAUAUUGAAAAAUUUGGUUUUGUGAAAGGUGGAUGAUAGAAUUAAGCAAGAAUGCUAUAAGGAUGGUGAUGAUGUUACUCUGAUUUGCAUCUUUGAGCCACUUAGCCAAAUAUUUCCCCGUGCGCAAAUAUAUAUCAGUUUGCCAUCAAAUUCACUUGCCGGAUGUCCAACAACGAGGCUGAAUAUGAGGCUGUGGUCAGGGGGAUGCAUAUUUUGUCAGAGGUGAGGGCCAAAUGCGUUAUCAUCAGGACCGAUUCUCAGUUAGUGGCUCAGCAAUUCUCAGGGAGUUAUCAUGUCAAGGAUCAGCGAAUGAAAGCAUACCACUGCAAAAUCAGUGAAAUGAAACAAAAAUUCAUGGAGUUCAAAAUCGAGCAGAUUUCCCGGGAAGAGAACACAAAGGCAGACUUGUUGGCGCGCAUGGCUAGCACAGUGGAACAGACUUGGAACGAUGAGAUCAUAUUGCUCUGUGAUACCAGAGAAAUGGGGACUUCACAGGUUUUCUCAGUGGAAAUCAGGGAUGACUGGCGGGCCCCAAUCAUACACUUUCUUAAGACCGGGGAGCGGUUGAGCAAAUAAUCAAAUCAGAGGACUCGAUACGAGAACUAUUGCUUGAUCAAUGAUCAACUUUACAAGCGAUCUUUUACCCAACCCUUAUUAAAAUGCUUAUCUCCCGAAGAGGCUAACUUUGCUUUGAAAGAAAUUCAUGCAAGUUGCUGCGGUGGUCACACGGGAUUCCGAGAUCUCAUACGAAAAAUCAUUCGAGCAGGGUUCUAUUGGCCUAACAUCAAUAAAGAUGCCAGAGAAUUCGUCCGCAAAUGCGAGGCUUGCCAGAGACAUGCUGGGAGAAUCAAUGUCCCGGGGGAAACCAUGGGAGUCAUGUACGCUGCAUGACCAUUUGACAAGUGGGGCAUAGAUAUCGUUGGGAAAUUGCCCACGGCACCAGGGGGUAAAUGCUUCCUCAUAGUGGCAGUGGAUUACUUCUCCAAAUGGGUUGAGGCCGAAGCUGUGGGGAAGAUCGACGAGGUGACAGUGGAGCGGUUCAUUUGGCGGAACAUAUGUUGUAGAUUUGGCGUCCCAAGGAUCAUUGUGUCAGACAAUGGAACCCAGUUUACAGGGCAGAGAAUUGCCGACUUCUGUGAUCGAAUGGACAUCACUCAGCGGUUCGUAUCUGUGGCCCAUCCCCAAGCAAAUGGGCAAGUGGAACUGGCGAAUAGAUCAAUCUGCGAGGGAAUCAAAAAGCGGCUGAAUCAGAGCAGAGGGAAAUGGGUCGAGGAGUUGGACACCGUCCUUUGGGCCUACCGAAGUAGCCCAAAGACAGCAACCGGCGAGGCGCUUUUUACCCUGGUAUACGGAUCCAAUGCAGUGAUACCAACGGAAGCCAGAUUGGAGUCAUAUCGCAUAACUACAUAUGACACAGAGCACAAUUCCGAACUUUGAAGAACAGAGCUCGACCUUGUUGAGGCACAGAGGAAAGAAGCUCAAGUCAGAGCCGCGAAAUACAAAAGCAUCAUCAAGGCGGGAUACGAUAAGAGAGUCAGAACAAGGAAGCUAGCUAAGGGCGAUCUAGUCCUUAAGAGGGCCGAUGCAUUGAAACCAGUGGGCAAGUUUGAGCCCAAUUGGGAGGGAACCUUCAUCAUCACUGAGGUCCUGGGCGGUGGAGCGUAUACUUUGUCAGAUCCAGACGGCAGAGCUCUCCCCAGACCAUGGAAUAUCAACACUUUAAAGAAGUUCUAUGUGUAAAUGCUGAUUCAAUGACAUGUCAAAUUGUAGACCGAAUACUCUUUUUCCCCACAGGGGUUUUAACGAGGUUCGGGGCCAUGAUAUCAAUAAAAUCGGAUACGUGGUUCUAGGGAAUUCCCUGGUGUCGACUCAUUUUUUCUACGCUAUUUCUUUUCAGUUAUAUAUUCUACUUAACAUGUUCAUGCAGAGCAUUGCACAUGCGACCAGAGGGGGGAGUAGGGUGUAUACCCAUAGUCCACAAUUUACAAAUUCAAAAUUGCUUCUUAGCAAGUCAAGGGAAAACAAAGGCAAAAUUGCUUCUUAAACAAAUCAAGGGAAACAAUAAAGAGCAGAGGAGUCACGCUGCCACCAGAGCAGAGGGAUCACGCUGCCGCCAGAGCAGAGGGACCAUGCUGCCACCAGAGCAGAGAAAUCAUGCUUUACUGUUCAAUCGUAAGCCGCAAAAGUUGGUUGCACCCCCCGGGUCCUCCAUGCUCCGCGCAGAGGGUUACUGUUCAAUCGUAAGCCGCAAAAGUUGGUUGCACCCCCCGGGUCUCCAUGCUCCGCGCAGAGGGUUACUGUUCAAUCGUAAGCCGCGAAAGUUGGUUGCACCCCCCGGGUCUUCCAUGCUCCGCGCAGAGGGUUACUGUUCAAUCGUAAGCCGCGAAAGUUGGUUGCACCCCCGGGUCUUCCAUGCUCCGCGCAGAGUGUUCCAGCUAGCAGGAGGGAAGCAGCAAAGGGAACAUACAAAGAAGGGAAGCAGCGAGGAAUGCAUCGAAGAGAAGCAGCGAGGGGAUGACUAGAAGGAGUCAGAGAAAUCCUCGAAGCAGGAGUCAGAGAAAUCCCCGAAGCAAGAGUCAGAGAGAUCCUCGAAGCAGGAUUCAGAGAAAUCCCGGAAGAAGGAGUCAGAGAAAUCCUACAAAGCAGGAGUCAGAGAAAUCCCCGAAGAANAGGGAAAAACAGAGGGAUCACGCUUCACCAGAGCAGAGGGGUCACACCCAACCAGAACAGAGAGGUCCCUGACAAUCGUAAGCCGCGAAAGUUGGUCGUGCCAUCCGGGCCUUCCAUGCUCCGUGCAGAGGUUCCUGUCAAUCGUAAGCGGCGAAAGUUGGUUGCGCCACCCGGGCCCUCCAUGCUCCGCGCAGAGAUAGCACUUAAUCAUAAGCCGCGAAAGUUGGUUGCACCCCCCGGGUUUUCCAUGCUCCGCGCAGAGGUUGCUUUAACCGUAAGCCACGAAAGUUGGUGGCACCCCCCGGGUCCUCCAUGCUCCGUGCAGGGUGUUCUUUCAAUCGUAAGCCGCGAAAGUUGGUUGCACCCUUCGGGACUCCCAUGCUCCGCGCAGAGUGUUCCAAAGGGAAGCAGCAAAAGGAAGCAGCAAAGGGAAGCUGCAAAGAGAAGCGGCAGAGGGAAGCAACAAGAAGGGAAGCAGCAAGGCAAAGCACCAAAGGGAGGAACGCAGAGAAAUCCUCACCAUAGGAGUCAGCGAAAUCCUCGCCAGAGGAGUCAGAGAAAUCCACAAAAAAGCGGAGUCAGAGAAAUGUCCAAAAGGCGGAGUCAGAGAAAUCCACAAAAAAGCGGAGUCAGAGGAAUCCACAAAAAAACGGAGUCAGAGAAAUCUCCAAAAGGCGGAGUCAGAGAAAUCCGCAAAGGGCGGAACCGGAGAAACCCACAGGGAGGCAAGCACAUGGAGUCCGCCAAAGGAAGAAUCAGAGAAAUCACAACAACAUCAGUCAACGAAUGCAAGGAUGUCAUAAUAAACCAUCAACUAUAUCAAAAUCAGAGAAACCCAACCAGAGGAGUCAACGAAAUCAUCAAAAGAGGAGUUAGCAAAAUUUCCAAGGGAAAAAUUUCAACACUUUGAUCAAAAGGAUAAAUAUGCUACUUCACACGAAGGAAACGAUCAUCACAUCUCAAAGCUUCAACGAUAAAACAACAGAAUGGCACCAAGGACAAGUAAAUGCAAAAUCAGAUCAAAAGAUGGGUGUACAAUAUUGAUAAUCAGAGGGGAAAAAUCAUCCCUCCACAACAUCUAAAAUAAAAUUCAAAGUACUUAUAGAACAAAAAGUUUACAAAUAUUCCUAGCUAAGGGGAGGAGGGAAACAGUCGAGACAGUCAAGGGGGAGGAGCAGCAACAGCAGGAUUCAGAGCAGGGGCAGCAGCAGCAUCGGAGGGCUUGGAGGCAGCAGCAUCAAUAGGGACCGAAGCUUCACCAGAGGGACCGCCUUCUUCAAACACCUUCAGCGUCUCGGAAGAGCGCACUGGGGGCAGACGUUGCUCCAGGUUCAAUAACUUUACCGCCUCUGCAAUAUAUGCGUCCUCAUCCUGGUAUAAGGCGUAAAGCUGAUUAACGGCGUCUGUGGAAGAGGCGGGAUCCUCGAAGGCAGCGGCUGUCAGACCAGAGGGCAUCGGAGGCUCCAUGCUGAACUUAGAAGACUCAUGAGGGCCAGUGCCAGUCCCACCCCUCAACUUAUCCACGAAUUUCGCCAAGACAGCACGGACGGAGGGCUAGUAUUUCAAGGACGAAGACGCUGGAUCAGGGUAAACCCCAAAGGCGAAUUGGGGAAUGGCCUUGUUCAAAACCGGAUACCACCACUUGGGCUUCACCGGGGCCUCAACAUUGAUCCCCAACAGCCUGUUGAGGUCUUCAUCCUUGAUAUGAUCCAUCAAGGCCUUCAUGUCCAGAGUCGCGACUUGCUCCUCUGACGCUCCCACCAUCUCCGCCGUCUUUGUGGAUAUUUCCCGUAUAAUAUGGGCGAAGAUGGGUCCGAACCCCUCCAGGUAGUCGGGGUGCUUCUGGAAGGCCGCCAGAGUGCCCUCCAACAUGAAGUCCAGGAACCGCUGGCCCUGGGGAGAAACAAAAAAUUCCAGGCGUUGGUCCCUGGCCCCCAUCACAUAACCCUGGGUCUGGGCACCUGCACAAGCAUUCUUCCAUUGGCGGCAGGAGUCUUGAUGUUCCUUUGCAUACGCCUCCCGGAAUCGGGUAAGGUUAUCGUGGCCCUCCUUUUUAGCCCUGGCCAGCUCAGAGACCAGGGACGCCUUCUCCACCUCUAGCUCAGCGAUGCGAGCCUGCAGAGCCGUAGCCUCCGCCUCAGCUUUGCUGUGACGCUCCUCUACGCUGGCGACGUCGUCAUCACGCUUGGCCACCUUUUCCUGCUCAUUUUCCCUCUCCUUCUCCAGUACAUCAUAGUUAUCGAUAUACUGGAUGGCCUCCCAGAUUCGGUACUCCACCUGCAAAGAAACAAAGGGAGUAAUGUCAGAACAGAGAAAUGGCUCUUGCCAGAGAGAUGGUUUUCGCCAGGGAAAUCAAGAGGUUAGUAAUUUAAUCUUUAAGUAAGAAUAAAAAUGCAGGGUACCUGAAGAGCCAACUGGCCAAGCUGGCUGACCAGAGUCUCUCGUUUCAACUUCCAUGUCACCUCCUUGUCCAUGGGGUGAACGCGGGAAGAUAGGGCCUCAACAAAGUCUCGCCCCGUCAGGAAUGAGAUCGGACCAGGAACAGCUACCUCCGAUUCCUCGGCAGGAGGGGCCGAAACCUUGCCCUUGUCCUUUUUGGCAGCUGCAGAGGAGUCUCCACCUGCUGGUUUUUUCCCCGUGGCCGCGAGCUUGCCAGCCUUCUUCAGGCUCUCUUUCUUUUCCUUCUCGCCCACGGAGAUCAGACCCCUCUUCCUCUUAUGCGUGAACCCGGGAACGACGAUGUCUUGGACUUGGUUGGGAGGAGGGACGUCAUCAGUAAUGUCCACAACAGGGACAUCGUCCCCACCAGCACCAGAUCCCUCACCAGCUCUGGAACGUUUGCGCCUGUGGAUAAGGCCAGAGGCAUCAACCUCCUCAGCAUAUGGGCUGAGCGCGCUCAAGACGCUCAGGUCUUUCCCCUUGCCCGGGCGUCGGCCUUGAGGAGGGGAGACCAUUCCAGGGGUCUCCGACACCAGUUGAGGGGUGUCCACCUCGGGCCCGGUUGGUUGCUCUAUAGGGCCUAUACGGGAGCCGUAGCCUCCCGAGCCACGCCCCCCACUGCGAGAGGGAGAAGCGGCAGCAGCCAAAUCGAGACUGCAUCGUGUUCUCCAAGACAUGCCUGCAAACAAGAAAUUCUACAUCGUUAGAAUCAGGGUAACAAUAGUCAAUACAUUUUCUAACACAUAUUUUUACCUAUGGAUGCCUCUGGAUACAGGGGAAAUAGACCAUUGGCUGCCAGAGCCGAAUUAUUUUUAGCAAGGUAUCUACAGGGUAAGGGCUGGGCGUGGUUCAUGGCAUUGAGCUGGGUUAUGACCCCCAGGUCGAGUUUGGAGGGGGCAUCCAGGGAAGCUGGUUUAUAGGUGGUCCGAGGGCUCUGCCACUUGAUGAGCCCAUGUUUGUGCUCGUUUUUCUUGUGUGUUUUAGGUCUAGAUAGAGUCCUUUUCCUUUGUUUUGCUAGAGUUUGUCGCAUGGGAGGGCGUUGUUCCAGGGCAAGCCCGUUCUUUGGGCAGAAGGUGCUUUCAAGGCAUAAUGCUGCUGCAUUCCGCGAAAGACGCAUGAGUUUAAAGCAGAGGAGUUUGGGACACUCAAAAGCUUGUUUUGAAGACCAAAAGUCCGAGAAGCAGGAUGUUGGGCAAACCGACCCAUUUGCCCAUAAGUACCACGUGGGACCCAGUUGCACCAGAAGAAGAUCGUGGGCAGAAGGUACAGACAGAGCAGCGAAGUCGGAUUUGCCAGAGAAAUCAAGCUACCAGCGGAUUCAAAGUGCCAGAGCAGCGAAGUCAAAAGGGCAGAGGAAUCAAGCUGCCAGAGGAAUCAAAGAACGCCAGAGCGGAGGUCAUUCAUCUGGACGCCAGAGCAGCGAAAUCAUUCGACCAGAGGGAUCAUUCGACCAGAGGGAUCCUCCGAACAGAGGAGUCAUCCGAGCAGCGGAAUCAGCCUCCAGAUCAGGAUGAAAUCUCGGGCAGAAGGAGCCCUGAUUCCAGCCCACUCAUUUUGGGCCCAGCCUGUGUAGCCCUAACUCAUGCCUAUAAAUACCACAUAGCUGUGAACCAUUCGAAAAAAGAGAAGAGAGAGAGGGAUGCACGAAUUUUGAGAGACCAUUGCUGUAGUUUUACUUUCCAUAGUUAGGUAGGAGUAGUCGCCCCUUAUGGGCAUAGCAGUUUAAUUUUCUGUUCAUGUUUUCUGCGGCACUUUUGGCCGUAAGUACCCUUUUGCCUCAAGUAAGUUUCUAUUUCAGUUUUUACUUUAUGUUUUCCUUUAUGUCUUUUGCUUGUGUUAUUUACUUUAUGUUUGGCUAAGUUUUAUAUUCUGAUUUGGGCAAGAUGAUCUAAGCAUGAACACAUAACUCGAGAGGUCUAAUUUGGGCAUAACAACUGUAUAAGCAUAUUCCCGAUACACUAGGUUUGAUUCCAAAAAGGUUGUAACAACUUGGUUAUAAUUAAUUGGUCACUAGUUAACUAGGGAGUUCUGGCCACAAGUAAUACUUUGGGCAUAAGGCGAAACGCCAUCGACCUCCAAAAUAGUACAACGAGUGUUGGACCGUGACUCUGUGAAAUAUCGGCGUAAGAGUCAAGUGGGUCUAUCUAACUAAAGCAUUCUGGCAAAGCACAACUAGCGAUAGACCAUCGCAGAGAGCGUGGAUGUUGCCCGGGGUAGUUGAUUUCCAUUAGCUGACCCUUCUAAGGGAUCAUAAACUGAAAGGAUAGAAUUGGGCAGGGUUUUUGCGUGCGUGACGAGUGACAAUAGGGGCGCAACAAUUCUUAUGCCUAUAACCACUGGUAUGCGAGUAUAGUGAUUUAUCUUUGCACCAAUGAUCGAGUGUCUAGAUCAUGUUUAGUGAUUCAACCCAAGUCAGAAUUGUUUUGUUUUUUGAUUUAUUUACCUUUGUUAUUUCAGUUUAGUUGGAAACCCCGUUCUGCCCAUAAGCACGUUGUGGUCAGAACACUGCAGAAUACAAAACCCUUUUAGUGACACCCUUGCAGGAGAAGUUACUGCUCAGUUCCCUGUGGAUUCGAUUCUGGACUUACCACUAGCUAGUCUAGUUGUGGGCACAUGAUAUUUUAAUUGCGCGAAGCUCAAACGACAGCUUCGUCACCACUCCAGCACCAGAACGCCGUAAUCACGCCAGGAACCAAUAAGGGUGCGCACGUAACAAUAAUUAUGCAAAAAACCUUUAUCAAAGGAAUUCAAAGAAGAAAGGAAGGUGGUAGGAUAUUUCUUGCGACCAGCGAAGCUAUACAGGGGGCUGCCCUGCAUACGAAGAGACUGGGUCUGGAAAAACAAUUUGGCGGUGUCCCCGACACCGUAAGCUCGGCAUAGAAUGUGGAAGGCAUAUAACCUCCUGAUGGCGGAAGGGGUGAUUUGGUAAAAGGGGAUGCGGUAAUAGUUACAGACUUCGACCAAGAGAGCGGGGGGAGGAAGCCUUAGGCUGGCGUCUAUCUGGGCCUUCCAAAUGGCCACUGUUUUAUGAUCACGCAGUCUCUCUGGGGGGGCGAGGCCUUGGAGAAGGGUUCGAAUUUUAGGCCCGCAGGACGAAGACAUUUGUCCCUCAUCUUCUCCAUCGCCGCGACACCAAGGCGAGAUUCGGGAAUAGGCUUAGGAGGCUGGGGUGCUUUCUUAGUCCUCUUUGUAGGCUUGGAGGGACUUGGGGUAGCCUGAGAAUCAUGUGAGGCGGAGGGGGAGGGAAGGUUUACAAGAUCCUGGGGCUGGGGGGAGGAAGACGAAGAACCUCGGGGAGAGGGAGAAGGCGACCGCGAGGGUUGGGGAACGGAAGUGGAAGCCAUUGCCGAAAUUUUUAAGCCUAGGGUUUCUAACACGCUCAAUCAAAGCACCAACAAUUACACAACUACGCUACAACUAAUUACAGAUACCAGGAAAGGGAGCACGCGAUUUACCUAAAGUCAGGAGUUUUUUAAGGUCGACGAAAGGGACUGGAACGGUGGGGUCGCAGAAAAAUCGCCGAAACAGUAAGAGAGAAAUCACCGGAAUUGAGAGAAAAAAUAAGCAAGUGCGAAAACAGAAGGAAGAAGAUGAAUAGUGGGAAGUAAAAAAUUCAAAACUGACUAAGUAACGUACGCGGGCAACUACCAUCAUACGGGAUGAACAACACGUGGCCCUAAAAAAGCAAUCAACGGUCAAGGAUUUCUGCGGGAAGGCGAAAGGACGCGAGGGCUGAAAAAGGUAACCUGGGGAUACGGAAAAGCACUGUAGAAAGGUCAGGCAUUUAAUGCGGGUGACGUCAGCCACGCGGAUGAAUACUCUGACUAGUGGUACCGUUCCAGAGCGAACUAGUCAGACCAGAGGGAGGAGUAGCAAAAAUUCUAAAGAAAAAUUUCAGCACUUUGAUUAAAGGGAUAAAUACGCCAUUUUACAAGAAGGAAAUUCAACUUGGAAUUACAAUUCUAAAGUCAAGGGGAAAAUACUUACCUUUGCUUUCUUACAAUAUUAGAACUUUUAUGGCUUCAUGAUUUACAGGGAUCAAGGAAAACAGCAUAGCACUGGCUUUAACAAUAAGUUCGCUGGUUGAACACGAAGAAUACCCGGUUCAACCAAACUAGGGGGAGUAGCUGAUGAGGAGCAAUAUAUACGGAACAAGGAAUGUCUCUACUAGUGGAAUCACGGGGAGCAGCGAGAUAGCUUUCGUCAGAGGAAUCAUCCUCACCAGAGGAAUCAUCCUCAACUAGAGGAAUCGCACCCGCCAGAGGAAUCAUCCUCGCCAGAGGAAUCACACUCGCCAGAGGAAUCACACUUGCCAGAGGAAUCGUUCUCGCUAGAGGAAUCACACUCGCCAGAGGAAUCACAUUCCCCAGAAGAAUCGCCUUUGUCAGAGGAAUCACCUUCGCCAGAGGGGCCGCUCUCGCCAGAGGAAUGGUUUUCACCAGCGGGAUCACCAAGACGCAGGGAAAUCUCCCGCGUAAGGGCGAUUUUACUAUUAUGCCCCCGACCACGCAGGACGCAUGCCCCGGUGCUGAUUUUACUAUUUUGCCCUCCAUAUGUAAUCUAUAAAUAGGGCAUGCGUGCUCCUUUGUAACCCACGUGAUCUCUUAUUCUCAAUACAGCAACAACUUUUCUCUCGUGUUCUAGCAUUCCAAUUGUUUUCUUUGUCUUCUCCGGUCGAUCAAACUAGGUAUAAUCCACAUUUCUUUAAUAACCUACCGAAAAAUCUCUACCCAUCUUUCUAUAUCUCACCAGAUCCACAAAUUUAUUUUAAGUAUGCAUGGAAUGCUUUCAAAUAUUUCUAUGUUAUACUGUUCAUAUCAUGGAUUAUUCUUUUAAAUGGAUUUUCAAAUGUUUUCAAAUGGCUAAACCCACUGAGUAUAUUAGUACUCAACCCUGCAAUUAUUUUCAAAACCUUUUGCAGGUUGAGCGGCAGGUGGUGUCAUGCGAGGCUGAGGGAGGAUGUUGCUGUAGUUUCAUAUAAUAAUUUCUGCUGCCGUAAUAUUCACUUAGGUGAAUAUCUUUUGAGAUUGACUCUUUAAAUAUUCUUAGCCUAAUUAUUAUGAACUCUUUUGGCAUUCGCAUUCCUAGCGAUUGAAUCUCGCAUAUAUGUAUGUCUAGUAUGAAGUGUUAUCUUGUUGUCUCAGACCUCCGAACUUUUGAUCCUGGUUGGAAAAAUUCCUAUCUUAAUUGUUGUAUCUUCAAUUGCGGCACUCCUUCAUUAAAAAUGUGUUACCCGAAUCUAAGAACAUAUCACCUAUUUUAUUCUAACAAAACCUAGCAAUCCCAUUCAGUAGCUCGUUUCUUAUUCUCCCGGGAGUCGGGCUGUUACAAGUUAUCUAGCAUAUCGUUCACCCGCCAAAUCGGCAACCUCCCGGCGUGGGCCGUAAGGUCCUCGUUCAACAGGUGCUUUCCACCUACUCCUAGAGGAUGAUGAUGGAACUUGAACAUUUUGAGGAAAAGUGGGAGAAGUGGGAGUGCUAUCAAUUUCUUCUUCGGGGUCGAAAUUGAUAGACUUGUCACGGUUACCACGACCAUGAGACAUGACAACAAAUAAACAAGUAGAGAAGAGUAUAUAUAUAAUAGAGGUUAGAGAAUAAUAAACAAGAACAAUAAAGUAAAGCAAGUGAGUGUAGUUGAAAUAUAUAGCAUAGUAGAUAUUAUUUAGUACUUAGUAGUUACUACUAAUGUAAAGUAAGAACAAUACAGUAAAGCAAGUGAGUGUAGUUAUAGUGUAAUUAAAAUAUAUAGGGUUAAAUGCAUGUAAUAUCAUGAACUUAGGCCGAAAUCCAAAUUUAGCACGGACUUCAAUUUGCCCAAUUUAUAUGGCUAACUUUACCCCGUGUCCAAUUUUAACACCGUUUUUUUCCCCCCAAAUUGAAUCCUGCGUGUUAAUGACGUGGCUUGCCGGAACAAGUUUCCGGCCGGCGAGCAAAACGCUGCGUUUUGCUUGCCGAAUUCUACUCCUCUCCUCCAACACCUCUUCCUCUUCUCGUUGGCGAGUGCCUCUCCUCCUCCAUGCACGAUGCACAGCUCGCGUCGCCGACUCCCUCUUUGCGACCUCCGGCGAUGAUUCCGACGACUUUAAUGCGGCCAGUCGACGCCGCCUCUCUUGUCUCUCUCCCCUCUCUCGGCCGCCGCUGCCCUUUCCCCUUAAACCCUAAAUCCCCAACUUCAAACACCUAAAUCGCGGCCACUCCACGCCACAGGCUGCCGUCGUCCACUGACGCUCUCUCUCGCUGGACAGACAACAGCUCUGAACCACCGCUGCCUCCCCUGCUCUCGACUGGACAGCAGGAGCUCAUGCCGUCUCUGACCAUGCUUGUCUCUCUCUCUCUCUCUCUCUCUAUUCGGUGCUAAAAUUGAACAUAGAGUAAAGUUACACAUUUAAAUUGAACACGAAGUAAAGUUACACAUUUAAAUUGGACGUUUUUAAAUUAUAAAUUAUGAUGUGUCAUUUGAAAGACACGUCAUUGCCACGUAGUUCUGCCGGAAAACAAAUCGGUGUUAAAUUUGGACACGGAGUAAAGUUAGCCAUAUAAAUUGGGCAAAUUGAAGUCCGUGCUAAAUUUGGAUUUCGGCCUAAGUUCAUGAUAUUACAUGCAUUUAACCCAAAUAUAUAGUAUAGUAGAUAGUAUUUAGUACUUAAUAUUAGUACUAGUAGUAAUAUAAUGUAAACCAAGAACAAUAAAGUAAAGCAAGUGAGUGUAGUGAUAGUGUAACUGAAAUAUAUAGUAUAGUAUAGUAUUUCGUAGUAGUACUAGUAGUAAUAUAAUGUAAAGCAAGAACAAUAAAGUAAAGCAAUUAAGCAAGAGAAUAACAAAAGAAUUAUAGAGCAAGAGCAAGAGUAAUUUAACAAGAGCAAUAGCACAUAAAGAAUGGAAGAGAAUUAGAAGUAGAAGAUAAUAGAAUGUAGAAUUGUUAACACAAUGGGGUGAGUUUUAAGGUGGAAGAAUGGGGGUAUUUAUAGAUAAAAUUGGGUGCGAGAAAUUCGAAUUUGAAUUUUGAAAAAAUAAAAUAAAAUAAAAUAAAAAAUCACCCGAUAACCGGCGAUUUUGGACGGUUAAUUGCCGGUUUGAAAACCGACGAUUAACCUCCCAAAACCGCUGGUUCCGCCCGCCUGCCGUGCCCCCUAGCCCUGCGGUCAAACUGCCACCCUGCCGCCCCUACGCCUGCCACCUGCCGCCUCGCAUCCCGAGCCAGAAUCGGUGGUUCACGAGCCGAGAAUUGUUGAACCGUAAUUCUAGGUCCGUUCUGGAAUCGGCCUGUGGUCAACUAUCCGGGCCCAAACCAUUGACUUUCGGGACGUACCGCUGGGCCCGGUUAGCCCAUGGCAUCCUAUGCGCAAUUGUGUUAGCUGUGCGGUACAUAUGCCUAACAAGAUCAUGCCAUGAAGCUUGGAUAAUGUCCAUCACAUCUUUAGGGAGAUAAAAUUCUUGUUGCGGUUAAAAUGGGUAUCCACGUCCACAUAGACUAAUUAUAACUAAUAAAAUUCCACGUAGCUAUAGUAGAGGUGGCUAAAAAAAUUGAAACUGUGAACCGAACCGAACCGACACGGUUCUGGAACUGGAACUAUCUCACAUGGUUUCGAACCAGAACCGAAACCGGCUCCAUGCGGUUCAGUUACUGAUUGUUCGAACCGCCGGUUCCCAGUUUCGAACCGGAACCAUGGAAUCGGGAACCGCAUCGGAACCGGAUCUGAACCGUUCGGAACCGUCUGCUGCGAACCGCCUCGUUUUCCGACCCUGGACAUUUGCAUGGCAGUUUGUAGGCUUUGGCAGCCAUCUUUAAUGCAUGGCAGCCCUAUUUUGCUGCAAAAUAAUGAAGGGGAUCGUCUGCAUUGCAGACUUAAAUUUGAAUUUCAAAUUCAAAUGUUAAAUUUGACCAAAAUUCACCUCAAAUUCAUCUCAAAUUCACCUCAAAAUCUUCCUAUAAAUACACCCUUAAUUCCUUUCAUUUUUCCUCACACCAAUUAUCAUCUCUUCACUCUUUUUCUGCAAUUCUCUCUACAAAAACUCUCUCUAUAUUACUUUUUCCCCUGCAUUUAUCUAUACUAAAACUCCCUCUCUAUCUCUCUAUUGCCCUCUUUCUAUUAGCAAAUCCUAUAUUAUCCUCUCUUUAUUACUCUCUGCAUUCUCUCUACUACUCUUCUUCUUUCUUUCAUUUAUCAUCCUCACUACAAAAAUGACCGCUUCCGAUUUCGGCUCUGGUCGUAGUCAAGGGCGAAAAAUCCGGACCUGACUACACUGCUACUAUUGGAAAUAAAUCCUGCGCCCCUCGUCGUCUACAUGGGGUUGUUAUUCGAGAUGAUCCCAACGAAUCAACCUAUGUUGGGAGUGAGGAUCCUACUUCUCAAUUCCGAAGGGUGCCCAAUCGUCGUGAACAUGAAGAAAUAGAGGAGGCACAAAUCUGAGCCGAUGCAGAAAUGGCGGAGCGCCUUGCUCAACAACAAGCAAGAAGGAACGAGAUGGACGAGCUUGGACCGCACCGACCUAGACGAUCGACAACGAGCAAGAAGGAACGAGCUUCGCGGUCCAACGUCUUCACAGUGUACUUCAAAAAGUACAAGUGAAAGAUCCCGAAACCGGCGAAACUGUCACGAAGGCUGUGUGCAACAUUUGUGGCAAAUCCUAUGUUUUCAACGAGGGGAAUGAUUAUGGCACCUACAAUAAGCAUAUAAAAAAUGUGCAUCCUCCCACCAACGGUAAAGGUAAACAAACGCAACUCACCUCUACCCUCGGCGAGCAAGGUACGCCCGAAAUCUCUCUUUAUAAGUUUAACGAUAUUGUUGCUAUGGAAGUUAUGGCUAAAUUUGUUAGUACCGAAUCUCUUGCUUUUCGAUUUGCCGAUAGCAUGAAUUUUGAAAAUGCCAUGAAAUUAGCAUAUAAUCCCUUAGCUAAAAGAAUCCCACGUACAACUAUGACUAGAACCAUAGUUAAAUUAGCUAGAAGAUGUAUAAUUCAAUUGCGUAAUAUUUUGACUACUUUACCACAUAGAGUUUCUGUGUGCUUCGAUAUAUGGACAUGUGCAUUUCAACAUAAUUCUUAUAUUGGUAUGACUGUUCAUUGGACAUCUAACUUAUAUGGUCAAAGAUGAGAGCCCUAACCCUAACCCUAACCCUAGACUUCCUCCGAUAAUCUUCUUCGCCGCUGGUCGCCUGUUGCUGCCGUCCGAUGACUACUCACGGUGAUGCUCCCAUUGGUCACUCGGCUGGCGGUUUGAAUCUCCCUACUCUCACUAGUAAUUUCACUCCCGGCUUGAAGCCUAAUCAUGAAGGUUCUUUGAAAGCUUCGACUAACCCUAGCCAUGCGAACUCCAACAAAGACGAUGGACAUCUGCUACGAAACCCCUCUCGGGGAAAGGAAGUGAUCGAUGGAUCUGUUAUUGACAAAGCGCCGACUGGAAGUUCUUACGCUGAUAUAGCUACCAACCGCGCGCCGAGACGCCCGGAUUUGCCUGCUCAUCAUUAUCACGCGCUGCGACCCACAAAGGAGGGAGACCAGUUCUCCCUUAAAAUCCCAAAGGAAUUGAUCCGCAAAGAGAUCGCUCAAUUCUCUCAUGCUUUAACUGGAAGACUACUGCUAAAGAAGGGCGAAAAACCCAAGACUGCCAUGAUGAUCAAAGACGAACUGCAAAAGUUAUGGGGCAUCAACGCUUCUUGGAAACUUAUUCCCUUGGGCAAGGGAUACUACACGUUGAUAUUCAACAAUGCUGAGGACAAGCUCCGCGCGAAAGCUCAAGCUAUCUGGGAAGUUUCUGGGGGACACCUGCGCCUUAGAGAAUGGGUAAAAAACUUUGACCCGUUCAAAGAACACUCUUCGUUGGCAAAUGUUUGGGUGAGGAUACACUAUUUGCCCAUUGAAUACUGGAACGUUGAAGUUCUCACAGGCAUUGCUCGUUUUGUGGGACACCCGUUAAGGGUUGAUGGAACUUCAGCGAAAAGAGACUUCGGCCAAUUCGCCAGAAUUCUUAUCGAAAUAGAUAUGUCUAAACUUUUGCCUAAUACUCUUCUCGUUGAUGGAGAGGAUGUCGCUUUUCAUGUGGAAUUUACAUAUGAAUAUCUCCCAUUUUUUUGUUCCAGAUGCAAAACAACAGGACAUACUCUCGAGAAAUGUCGAAAAGGAAAACCCUUCGGUGGGGAGGGAUCGCGGAAUGCUGGAAAUCAGCCGCAAAACACACAAGGGAAGACCGUAGACUUGAGCAAACAAUGGCAAAUUGUUCCCGAGAGGGAUCUGCGGGACCAAAUUGUGAAUCAUGUUGAUUUGGAUCAUGAAAUAAAUCUGCAUGAGAUGAAUAUUUCACGAUCGGCUGAGAGCCUUGGAACACCGAGAAUGACUAAUACUGUUAAUGGUCUUGAAGUGCUGGAGGAAGCUAAUGAUAUGGAGAUACAUUGUCAGAAUAAGGGGAACCCUACAAUUGGAAAGAGCACACCGAAUGCCCUUGCUACUUCGAAACUUAAUUCGGGUAACAAAUUUGAGGUUCUGACUAGCAGGGGAGAGCAGAUAGAUACGGAGGAUUCUAAACAACCUGUUAUUUUACCCGAUCAAGAGAUUGGAACUUCUUCAGAGGACGAGGAAUAAGUUGAUGCCGAGAUAAUUGUGGAAUCCGAUGGAAAAUUCAAUGAGGAAGAUACGGAGGUUCCAGGAUUGAUAAAUGAGAGCAGAAUUCUAGAGGCGACAUGUGCCGAGGCUGUGGCCAUCGAGAAUGCGAUGAAAGCUCAGCGUCUAGAACAAAUAUUAGCUAUUGCUAAAGCUCCUAUGAAAAUUGGAUCACNUUAAUUUUUCACCAUUUUUUUGUGGUUUUGUGAACAAUUCACUUCAUAAUAUUACUUAAUAAUUAAGUGGUAUUAUGAUUAAUUCAUUUUGUGAAGGAGAGAUGAGAGCCCUAAACCCUAACCCUAGACUUUCUCCGAUAAUCUUCUACGCCGCUGGUCGCCUGUUGCUGCCGUCCGAUGACUACUCACGGUGAUGCUCGGCUGGCGAUUGAAUCUCCCUACUCUCACUAGCAAUUUCACUCCCGGCUUGAAGCCUAAUCAUGAAGGUUCUUUGAAAACUUCGACUAACCCUAGCCAUGCGAACUCCAACAAAGACGAUGGAAAUCUGCUACGAAACCCCUCUCGGGGAAAGGAAGUGAUCGAUGGAUCUGUUAUUGACAAAGCGCCGACUGGAACUUCAUACGCUGAUAUAGCUACCAACCGCGCGCCGAGACGCCCGGAUUUGCCUGCUCAUCAUUAUCACGCGCUGCGACCCACAAAGGAGGGAGACCAGUUCUCCCUUAAAAUACCAAAGGAAUUGAUCCGCAAAGAGAUCGCUCAAUUCUCUCAUGCUUUAACUGGAAGACUACUGCUAAAGAAGGGCGAAAACCCAAGACUGACAUGAUAAUCAAAGACGAACUGCAAAAGUUAUGGGGCAUCAACGCUCUUGGAACUAUCCCUUGGGCAAGGGAUACUACACGUUGAUAUUCAACAAUGCUGAGGAUAAGCUCCGCGCGAAAGCUCAAGUUAUCUGGGAAGUUUCUGGUGGACACCUGCGUCUUAGAGAAUGGGUAAAAAACUUUGACCCGUUCAAAGAACACUCCUCGUUGGCAAACGUUUGGGUGAGGAUACACUAUUUGCCCAUUGAAUACUGGAAUGUUGAAGUUCUCACAGGCAUUGCUCGUUUUGUGGGACACCCGUUAAGGGUUGAUGGAACUUCAGCGAAAAGAGACUUCGGCCAAUUCGCCAGAAUUCUUAUCGAAAUAGAUAUGUCUAAACCUUUGCCUAAUACUCUUCUUGUUGAUGGAGAUGAUGUCGCUUUUCAUGUGGAAUUUACAUAUGAAUAUCUCCCAUUUUUUUGUUCCAGAUGCAAAACAACAGGACAUACUCUCGAGAAAUGUCGAAAAGGAAAACCCUUCGGUGGGGAGGGAUCGCGGAAUGCUGGAAAUCAGCCGCAAAACACACAAGGGAAGACCGUGGACUUGAGUAAACAAUGGCAACUUGUUCCCGAGAAGGAUCUGCGGGAUCAAAUUGUGAAUCAUGUUGAUUUGGAUCAUGAAAUAAAUCUGCAUGAGAGGAAUAUUUCACGAUCGGCUGAGAGCCUUGGAACACCGAGAAUGACUAAUACUGUUAAUGGUCUUGAAGUGCUGGAGGAAGUUAAUGAUAUGGAGAUACAUUGUCAGAAUAAGGGGAAUCCUACAGCUGGAAGGAGCACACCGAAUGCCCUUGCUACUUCGAAACUUAAUUCGGGUAACAGAUUUGAGGUUUUGACUAGCAGGGGAGAGCAGAUAGAUACGGAGGAUUCUAAAAAACCUGUUAUUUUACCCGAUCAAGAGAUUGGAACUUCAGAGGACGAGGAAGAAGUUGAUGCCGAGAUAAUUGUGGAAUCCGAUGGAAAACUCAAUGAGGAAGAUACGGAGGUACCAGGAUUGAUAAAUGAGCACAGGAUUCUAGAAGCGACAGGUGCCGAGGCUGUGGCCAUCGAGAAUGCGAUGAAAGCUCAGCGUCUAGAACAAAUUUUAGCUAUUGCUAAAGCUCCUAUGAAAAUUGGAUCACCGCCAAAGAAAAGGGGCAGACCUUCAAAGCAAACUUUAGCGGCCAAAGCUGCCAAGGCUGAAGAUAAUAAAGUUGUGGAAAUCAAUACAGCGGCUCGUGAGAGCAUUAAGAAUCGUCUGCGGCACUCAACAGAUACGGGGUAUAAAGCGCGGGAUUUCGUUAUUGAGAACAGUUCGAGGGCUAGCAUUGUGGCUAUGGAUAACGUGGCUAAGGGAAGCUGGGCUGCCGAAGUGGAAAGAAGCGAAGCUUCUUCCGCUCUUUCGCAACACUCUACAUGAAUGUUGUUGCAUGGAACAUCCGCGGGAUGACGGAUGAGUCCAAGCGUUUGCUUAAAGAACAUUGCAGUUCUUUCUCUCCCAUUUUUUUAGGCUUGAUUGAGCCUAAAACUGCUUUUCAUAGAGUUAGAAACUCUUUUUGGAAUUCUUUAAACCUCAUUCCGGUGCAUCAGAACUGCCGGACUCCGCGUUGCUCUAAUAUCUGGGUUCUUACUCAUCCGUCUGUGAUCUCCACGGUGAUUUUCUCGUCUGAUCAGAUUGUGGUGGUUGACUGUAGUUGGCAUUCUUUGCACUUCAGAAUUGGGAUUGUUCACGGCUCAAAUGAUCAGGUGCUUCGCCGUGAUCUCUGGUAUGAUAUUCUUCGACUUCUCACUACUAACACUAUUAUCAUUGGAGAUUUCAAUGCCAUCAAAGGGGCUCACGAACGCAUCAGCACCGUUAUGCCUCACCGCGGUUCGUGCUUGGAUUUCUGUAAUUUUAUUAAUGAUUCUCAUCUUAUUGAAUCUCCCACGGAGGGUUUGCGUUUUACUUGGUCGGGGCGCAGACUCCUGCCACGCCAUGUGGAAUCGAUGCUGGAUAGAGCUUUAUUUUCCCAAGGCUUUGCUUCCUUAUGGGACUCUAUUGUCACUUCCAUUCUCCCACGUCUUACUUCGGAUCAUUCUCCUUUGGUGUUGCAAUGUAAAAACUUCUCUCCCUCGACGAGAUGCCAUUUUCGGUUUCUUAAUAUGUGGACCCUACAUCCUUCCUUCAUGGGCAUGGUGCAGACUUCGUGGAUGAUUCCUAUUGACUCUUUGUGUCCCAUCGUUUGUAUUAUGCAAAAGCUUAAACGGCUUCGCGCUGAUAUUCGGGUCUGGAAUAAGGAUGUUUUUGGUAAUGUUGAUCGAGCUUUGGAGAAUUGGCAGAAGCAGCUGUUAUACGUGCAGAACAGAAUCUCGGAGUUGGGGUACAAUGAUGCGUUAUUUGAGGAAGAAGUUCAGAUUCAAGCUGAAAUUAACGUUGCUCUUUCCAGGAAAAGUAAACUCCUUCAGCAAAAAAGUAGAGCUUCUUGGCUCGUGGAUGGGGAUAGAAAUACGGCGUUCUUUCAUAGACUUGCUAAGUUUAGAAAACGCAAUGCCUCGAUCACUAGACUGAAUAUUAACGGGGUUGAUGAGUACAACCAGAAUGUUAUUGAACAGCAUAUCGUUCAUCAUUUUUUAACCCUUUUCUCUGAUGAUGGCAGCUCGACAGCUGAACAAAUUGAAAUUGAUGCCUUAAUCCAACCGAGCAUUUCCGAGACUCAAAAUAGGCUUCUCACUACGAUUCCGGAUGAGGGGGAAAUUGCUGCGGCGGUUUUUGACAUGGAUGCCAAUAGCGCCCCGGGGCCUGACGGAUUUUCUGGCAUGUUCUUCCAAAAAUGCUGGCAGAUUAUUAAAGUGGAUGUUAUUCAAGCUGUUCAACGUUUCUUCAGUCACUCCUAUCUGCCUAGUGGUUGCAAUGCAAGCACUAUGAUUCUUAUUCCAAAAAAGGAGAACGUUUCCGUGGUGGGGGACCUUAGGCCUAUUGUUCUUUCGAAUUUUUUCUUCAAAAUCGUCUCAAAGAUUUUGGCCUCCCGUCUUAGCUUGGUCGCGGCCUCACAUGUCUCGCCUAAUCAAUUUGGAUUUAUAAAAGGCAGAAAUAUCCACGAUUGUAUUAUGCUCAGUUCUGAGGGAUUUAAUUGUAUGGAGCGUACGAACAAUGUCAUCAACAUGGCUUGUAAAGUCGACAUCAGGAAAGCCUUUGAUACCAUUCGCUGGGAGUUCAUCUUUCAAGUUCUUAGAGCUAAUGGUUACCACGAGAACUUUAUUAAAUGGGUGGCGGUUAUUUUCAGUUCAGCGAGACUCUCUAUCCUGUACAACGGCCAUCUCACGGGCUAUUUUCCUUGCUCUAGGGAGGUUAGACAAGGGGAUCCUUUAUCCCCUAUUUUAUUUGGGAUUGCUGAGGAUGUUUUGAGUUUCUUAAUCAGCAGCUGUGUGGAUUCGGGACAUUUGAAGCCUAUGAGUUUUAGUCGGUCGACUCUCUUUCCGACUCAUCUCUUUUAUGCAGAUGAUGUCAUCUUAUUCUGUCGUGCGACUAUUCGUAAUGCAAGGAAGCUUAAGGAAAUUUUUGAUUACUAUGGGGGACUCUCGGGACAGAGCUGCAAUCAAGAAAAGUCUAAUCUUUUCUUCUCCCGUCGUGUCCCCACUAAUAGGCGUCGUCAGAUCCAUCGCGCUCUUGGGUUUUCGAUUGGUAACUUGCCGAUGACUUACUUGGGAGUUCCUAUAUUUGUUGGUCGUCCUCGAGCUGCUUAUUUUAUGACCAUCUUUGAUCGGAUUGUUCAGAAGUUUGCUCGCUGGAAAGGAAUUCAGCUGUCCAUUGCUGGCCGUCUUUGUCUCGUUAAAUCUGUGAUUCAAAGCUCGAUUGUGCAUUCUAUGAUGAGUUACAAGUGGCCUAAAUCUCUUCUGCAUUCUUUGGACAGGAAGUGUAGGAAUUUUGUGUGGACCGGCUGCACUGAGCAACAUCCGAGCUGCCCAGUUAGUUGGGGUAGAACGUGUUCUCCUUGGGGAAGAGGGAGGUUUGGGAGUUCGUUCUUUCACUUUAAUGAACCAAUCUUAUCUCAUGAAACUUGCCUGGAAGAUGAUCAAGGGGGUGGAUUGGGCUCAUCAAGUUAUGCGAGCCCGUUAUCUCACGAUCUUCGGGCAUGCGAAAACUACAUUGCCUAAUUCUUCCGUUGGCUUGGUAUAAAGGAUGAAGUUACCAGCUGGUGAUGACUCUUAUCUUGUGCUGACCGUGGUGAUUGCUACUUAUUUCUGGAAAGAUGACUGGCUUGGAUAUACGCUGAUCGACAAAUUGCAUAUCCCUCAUUACAUGCAUGAUUUUCUAAAUUUCUCGGUCAAAGAUUAUUUCUUUGACGGUGUCUGGCACUUCUCGGCUGCUUUUGUGAAUCGUUNUGAGGGAUUUAAUUGUAUGGAGCGUACGAACAAUGUCAUCAACAUGGCUUGUAAAGUUGACAUCAGGAAAGCCUUUGAUACCAUUCGCUGGGAGUUCAUCAUUCAAGUUCUUAGAGCUAAUGGUUACCACGAGAACUUUAUUAAUUGGGUGGCGGUUAUUUUCAGUUCAGCGAGACUUUCUAUCCUGUACAACGGCCAUCUCACGGGCUAUUUUCCUUGCUCUAGAGGGGUUCGACAAGGGGAUCCUUUAUCCCCUAUUUUAUUUGGGAUUGCUGAGGAUGUUUUGAGUUUCUUAAUCAGCAGCUGUGUGGAUUCGGGACAUUUGAAGCCUAUGAGUUUUAGUCGGUCGACUCUCUUUCCGACUCAUCUCUUUUAUGCAGAUGAUGUCAUCUUAUUCUGUCGUGCGACUAUUCGUAAUGCAAGGAAGAUUAAGGAAAUUUUUGAUUACUAUGGGGGACUCUCGGGACAGAGCUGCAAUCAAGAAAAGUCUAAUCUUUUCUUCUCCCGUCGUGUCCCCACUAAUAGGCGUCGUCAGAUCCAUCGCGCUCUUGGGUUUUCGAUUGGUAACUUGCCGAUGACUUACUUGGGAGUUCCUAUAUUUGUUGGUCGUCCUCGAGCUGCUUAUUUUAUGACCAUCUUUGAUCGGAUUGUUCAGAAGUUUGCUCGCUGGAAAGGAAUUCAGCUGUCCAUUGCUGGCCGUCUUUGUCUCGUUAAAUCUGUGAUUCAAAGCUCGAUUGUGCAUUCUAUGAUGAUUUACAAGUGGCCUAAAUCUCUUCUGCAUUCUUUGGACAAGAAGUGUAGGAAUUUUGUGUGGACCGGCUGCACUGAGCAACGUCCGAGCUGCCCAGUUAGUUGGGGUAGAACGUGUUCUCCUUGGGAAGAGGGAGGUUUGGGAGUUCGUUCUUUCACUUUAAUGAACCAAUCUUAUCUCAUGAAACUUGCCUGGAAGAUGAUCAAGGGGGUGGAUUGGGCUCAUCAAGUUAUGCGAACCCGUUAUCUCACGAUCUUCGGGCACGCGAAAACUAACAUUGCCAAUUCUUCCGUUUGGCUUGGUAUAAAGGAUGAAGUUAACCAGCUGGUGGAUGAUUCUUAUUCUUGUGCUGACCGUGGUGAUUGCACUUAUUUCUGGAAAGACGACUGGCUUGGAUAUACGCUGAUCGACAAAUUGCAUAUCCCUCAUUACAUGCAUAAUUUUCUGAAUUUCUCGGUCAAAGAUUAUUUCUUUGACGGUGUCUGGCACUUCUCCGCUGCUUUUGUGAAUCGUUUUCCUGAGGUUGUUGCUGAUAUUUUACGUCUUCCUAUGAAUGGCGAUGCGGAUGUCAGGUUUUGGAAGAAUUCGAUUUCUGGUGAGGUUUCGGCUAAAUCAGCUUUUUCUAGUCGCUGCCAUCGUUUCCCUGAGGUUAACUGGGGAAAAUGGAUUUGGGAGCCAUACAUUCCGAUGCGACGUUCUAUUCUUUGCUGGAGGGUGAUUCAUGGUAAGCUUCCCACAAUGGAUAUUCUCAUCAGACAAGGACUGAUAGCACCUAAUGUUUGCCUUCUUUGCUUGAGCAGCGCUGAAUCUAUCUCGCAUAAAUUUUGGAGCUGUCCAAAGGUGAAUUUGAUUUGGAGGGAAUUCCUUGUUUGGUUUGAUAAAGUGGAUCUUAUUGACUGCUUGGACAUUCAUUCUUUUCUGGUUUUGGCUUGGUCGACUAAUUUCAGUUCUCAACUUCGGACUUUCUGGAAAGCUGGAGUUAUUUCUUUGAUUUGGAAAAUUUGGGACAUUCGAAAUUCCAAGAUUUUCGAGGAUAUCAACUUUGAUGCUCAAGAGUGUGGUUUUGUUAAAUCGUUCUUCAAGGAGAUUGAGACCAAUUUCCACAACAUUGGCUCCACCGACAGCACUUGGUCGGAUUACCUGAUUACUAGGAAGCUUGGGAUUACGCAUAGAGCUAAGCCGCCGCCUCGUAUGAUCGAGGUUCAUUGGUGGCCUCCGACUAAUCAUUGGAUGAAAGUUAACACGGACGGCUCAGCUCUGGGUGCACCGGGUUUGAUUGCCGCAGGCGGUGUUUUUCGGGAUAAUUGGGCGGUGGUUCGAGGUUGUUUUCACAUAAAAGGUGGAGUGGGUUUCGCCUUUGAGGCGGAACUUCUGGCUGUCAUUACAGCAAUCAAUCUGGCCCAUGAUCGAAAUUGGUUGAACUUAUGGAUCGAGGCUGAUUCUAUGUAUGUAGUGAGACUUCUGGAAACUCGCUCUUCUGAUGUUCCUUGGCGUUUUAUGAAUUUUUGGAAGAAUACGUUGAGGCUUUUACAAGAUUUCCAGCUUAUUAUUACACAUAUUUACCGGGAGGGAAAUCAACCUGCUGACAUCAUGGCUCACAACGAUCGUGUGGAAGGAUGGUGGCCUUUUGCUAUCGAUGAUAUUAAAUUGGCUGUGACCAAAGACAUGUCCACACAUAGUCAUGUGCGUACUGUUUGGGAUAGUGUUUGGGGUUCGGUGUGGAAAGAAAGGGGCGUGUUGAGCAGGUUCCGAGUUCGGGAUUUUUCGGACGUGUUGAUCUGCCAGUGUGCCUCUCUGGCACAGCUCGUUCUGGAGCGUUGCUCGGAGCUGCCUCCCAGUGCUGGGAAGAUCAAUGCUGCGCUGCAUAGAUGGUUUCUCGACAGCCUACUUUCUGGCGCCAGGCUCAGAGUUGCGAUUUGGCGCUACUCUUCCUCGGAGCGAUGGAUAGGACAACUUGGAGUUGCGGGGAUAACAUGGAGUUUUGCUGGAAUUGGAUCUACUCUAGUGUUUGUUCGCGUUGGCGGAGAUCCGUUCUUGACUGGGAACGUUGGUUUGGUAGGAUGAGCAGGUGGGUGCUUUUCGAGUGGUGAAUUUUCAAGGCUGUGUUGGGAUGUCUCCACGACCUUUUCUCAGUCUGCUGGUGCGCUAGCGGCUGUGGUCGGGGAGGUCGGAUCCCUUUUGGUUACGCCGCGUCGUUUCUGGUUCUCACUACCGGAUUGGAUGGUCGGCGGAUUUUGCUUCUGCGGAGAGCAGCUUUGGUCGUUGAUGUGCUCUCUUGCUGGUUUUCUGUCACAGCCCGCCCUAACUAAGGAUAGUUAAGCCGAGUGAUCUACGACUAGGGAUGGGGUUAAAGAAGAAGGGAAAGAAAAGGGGCGUCAUUUAUAGCCUUAAAACUUACUCAUCUUAUUAAAACUCGUCAUUUUUAUUCAUUAAUACUCAAUUGAAAAUAGUCUAUGAAAGACAACAUAAAACUUAAUUAAUAUCAUUAAUCAAGUUAUACAUCAUAUGAAAUCAUUCUCUUAAGACUCAAAGUAUGACAUAACAUACUAUAACAUCAACAUCUUGCAGCGGAAAGUAGCUAGACAUAUGUAUGAAGACAUAUUCUAGACAGGUUAACUAUUUAUUAACAACCCUGGAGACUCCGCUCAUUGCAACACCAUCAUCACAUCAGCUCAACCUGCACAUUUAGAAAACAUCUGCAGGGCUGAGUACAAAAGCACUCAGUGGGCACGUAAGCCUAGGUAUAAAAAUACAUGCUUCAAAACUGUAAAUUGUCAUGCCAUCAUAAACAAUACAGCAAGGGAGUUUUUUUCGCUAAAAGGCCCAAGCUUACUAAAUUCAUUUGUGAUUCUUAAAGUUCGUCUGCAGACUAAGUUCUCUUGUAAUCUAUCAUAUCUGGAACUGUGUGCCGGAGAGGUGGCCACCUCUCACGGUCACUUGACCGGCCAACCCGCUAGAUGACUCACGGUCACUGGUGUACACUAGCCCUGACAGGAUAGCUAUCAACUGCUCAGGACCCGAAUUCGAUUACAUCAUUGGCGAAGCCAAAGCAGAUAGAUAUCAUACUAAAAUUGAAACAUUUUAUGGCAAGACAAACUUGAAAUAACUUUAUCAAAGAUUUUAUCAAUGAAAUAACUUGCUUGAACGUAACAUUUAAACUCAUUUUGAUAUAUAUGAAAGUAAUGCCCACCUGAUAGUAACUCUUGUUGUGGUGUAGUGGCUCUUAAUCUAGUUAUUGCUCUCCCACUUGACCUUUAUUGCGAGAAUAUAAAAUAAGACAUUGCCUCAAGGAAAAUUCUCAAUUAAUGAGAAAUCGUAAUUUAACUAUGCAUGAAUCUUGUAUGCAUGAACUAACAUGUUCGAACGAUAUUCGGGGCAUCCUACUAUUUAUCCUCGUUAAUAGAUUUAACUAACUUCCGUCCAACGCGGUCGAAUAGAGAUGUGAUUCUUCCUUUCCCAUCGGAAUAUUCUAAUUGUAAAAUAGAUCUCGCAUGUGUACUCGAUCGAAAAUAAAGAACUAACUCGGCUUUAAUCGAGGUGUGAUCUCGUAAAAAUUAUCGGGCUUUUCGAUAGAAGCAUCAUUACUAGCGUAACCUCAAAUAAUUAAUAGGCAUCAAAAGAGAGUAGCCAAUUAAUUAAAUAAACAAGUGGCUUUAAUGAAAUAAACAAUGUCAGCUGCUUUAAAGUCUGAAGUCCAAAACAAUAAUUAAUAAACUGGGCGGCUCAUUUACUGAAUACGAAUCGGCUCACCCACUGAUAAAUAAUUGGGCUCCAUCAAAAAUUGAUACUGCUAGGCUUAGCUCAAAGGAGUAACUUCAGCUCAAGCUUUAAAAGAAUUAAAGCCCAACUUAAAAGUCUUCGACCCAAAACAAUUAAAAUGUGGGCCCAAAAUAAUUAAUGUGGACUUAAAAAGAAAACUAGCUCAAAAUGGCAAUUUAAUCGGCCAAAAUGAUGAAUUAAACUGGCCCAACGAAAUAUAAAUGGGACUAGAAUAAUAGCCCAUCAUAAAAUAUGCAUCAGCCCAACUCCUUAAUUAAAUCGAGCCCAAUAGAAUUAAUGAGAAGGGCCAAUUAAAUAAAAGACUGGCCCAAUUCGAAUUUAACUGUGAAAGCCCAAGCAAUUAAAAUCAAGCCCGAACUUAAAAGUCUUUGGCCCACAACAAUUAAAAGGUGAGGCCCAAAAUAAUUAAAAUUGGAAGCCCAAUUUAAAAAAAACAAGCUCAAAAUUCGGCCCACAUAAAAGUAGAGGAAAGCCCAAACAAUUAAAAUUUUAAAGCCCAACUCUCUCUCUUUCUCUCACAAACUAUCGGACUCUCUCUCUUUCUCAAAACAAUUCACGCCUUUCUCUCUCUUUUCUCUCUCUCAAGGAGCUGCUCGCCCCUUUUCAAACUCAGCGUUCGAUCGGCCCUCCCAAAAAUCGGCCGGCUUCUUCUUCCUCAGCCGUUCAGCCAUCACUGCUCCGGUCAGCUUCGACCGGCGACUCAUGAAACCCCGGCAUCCCAGAGCCCAUCAUCGAGCCCUGAUUCUGGAAAUCAUCGCCGCUGUCGCACCUCCGUCUGGAAUCCGGCGAGCGGUCGCCUCCUGGAAGCAGCGCCGUUCGUCUCCCUCGUCUCAAACAUGGAAUCGGGCGGUGCCGGCCGCUCUCUCUCUUUCUCGGCCAAGAUCUGAUCUUGCCGGCGUCAGCUGUCCCUGCGCCUAGUUCCGAUGCCAACGGAAGCUCCUUCGUCGUCGUGUAAGUUCUGCUCCGGUCCCUGAAACCGGUUGGUCUCCUCCCUCAGCCAUUCCGCUUCCGCUUUGAUGUUCCUGAGUUUCCGGCGACUGGAGUAAGAAGGCCUACGCCUCUCACCGCGCCGCUGCUGCCUUUGGACCAUUGCUGCUGUUCCUCCCGGCGGCAGGUGAAGGCCCGCCGAUCCGCUGCUGUUGUCGGAGUUCGAUGGAGCAGCAAGUAUUUGCCGUUGCCAUCGUCGGCUCAGCUUCGACCGAACAGAGCAACCGCCCUUCUAAAAGCUAAGUCUUUGUUCUAUCGUCCUCUUCUUCUUUGUAUAAGUCUUUAUAUAAACAAUGGUGUGUGGUUUGAAGUUAAAGGGGUCUGUUCUGUGUUCCUAUUUUGAUAAAGUUAGAGAUUAAACUAGGAACUGUGGUUUGCUAAUGUCAUAAGAAUUCUCAUCGUCUGACUCAUGUGAAGAAACAUAUAUAAACUGUGAUUGGGCUAAUCAUCUAGUUCUUUAUCAUUCUAUGUUUGCUGCAUAUGUAUUUCUAUACAACUGAAUGUAUGCUUGAUGGUAUGAAGCAUGGAUUUAAACUGAACUGAGAUGGUGUGAAUACCUUGUGUAUUUCGUGCUUGAUUAGCUGAUGCGUUUUCCUUUAGUUCAGUGGGGAUUUGCUUGGAGUUUUGGAUGCAGUAAAUGAAGUCUCCUCCUCUCUUUCUUUCUUCGAAUUCUGGUGAACUAAGGAUGGAUGUUGGCUGAUACUACAAGGAAAUCAAAAUGUAUCUGCCUUUAGAGGAGGUAUAGUCAUAGGUUGCGGCUGAGGUGGUUGGAUGUGGUAUGCACGCUUGAGUGUGCUUAGUCAAAAGGUGCAAAAUAGGCGGUGGAGCAGGAGGAAAGAGUGCAGUGGUGACUGCCUUUGCAGCCCACUUUUCCUUUUCCCUUUUCUUAUUCUGUUAUUUCCUUUUGGUACUUAGUGUUGGUGUAAUUUAGAAGAUAGAAAUGGAGGUUGAUUGUGGUGAAUAAAUGAGAUAUAUUCGUAUAUCUCGGUGCUUUUGUAAUUGUAAUAUGAAUCACGUGCUCGUAUCUGCUUUGAUACUGUCUAACCUUUUAAAUAAAUCCUGUGUUUCGACAUAUGAUUUCCCGCCUUGCUAGAAUUUACAGGUUGUAAAAUGAAUCUAAAUUAAAUCCGUAGAUUUAAUUCAUUCGCUGUUCUGAUGUCUAAAUUAAAUCCGCAGAUUUAAUUAACUCAUGAGUCGGAAAUAAUCCACAACUUAAGUAAUUAUAAAUAAUAUAAUCGAUAGUCUCAUCUCGCUCAAUAAAUAACAUGACUUCGCUAAGCCAGUUAUAACUUUUGAAAAACAUCACUGACUGCUUCAAUAAUAUAAAUUCAGGAUCAUAAGCUGAAUUCAUAUCCGGAUAAUAAUCGGUUCCAUUCACUGAUGAAAAAUAAUAAACACAAAAUACUGGAUUUAAUAUAUAUAAAAGAGCGGGCUACUACAUACUACCCCUCUUAACAAAAAUUUCGUCCCGAAAUUUGCAUAUCUCUGCUAAAACAACUCGGGGUAUUUUUCUUUCAUCUUGUUUUCAAGCUCUCUUUCCACUUCUUUCUAAAUAAUUAUAUCUCCAUUGGACUUUAUCCAAUGCAAUCGACUUAUUACUCAAUUGCCGAAUUUUAUGAUCUAGCAUCCUCUGAGAUCUCUCUUCAUAACUCAAGUCUGUUUCUAAGAUCAUUUCUUCUUAGUAUACCACAUGGUUUGGGUCGAAAAUAUAUAUCCUCUCAAUUGUGACACGUGAAAUACGUUAUGCACAUUUCCAAAGCUAGGUGACAAAGCCAUCCUAUACGCUAUUGGACCUAUCUUUUGCAAUAUCUCGUAAGGACUUAUAACUCUGGGUCUAAGCUGUCCUUUAACUCCAAAUCUAUUCAUCCCCUUUGAGGGUGAAACCUUCAAGAAAACUUUGUCUCCUAUCUCGAAACUUUGUCUCACAUCUUAUAGGCAAACUCAAUUAGUGGCAACACAUUCUCCCGAUUUACUCCUCUAUCAAGGAUAGUAGUUCUUAUCAUAUCUUCUAUCGUCUGCUAUGCUAAAAUUCAUCCUUGUACCCAACUCUUUCUGUAACUCAUCCAAAAACGUGAUGUAAUAUAUUUUUUUUUUUUUCUCUUUGAGGUGAUCUACACCGGUACUCAAUGCAAUCUUAUAAUGUCACGAACAUACAAUUGUGCUAACUUAUCUGGUCCAUACGCGAUUAGGAUCGGUAUGAAAUGUGCAGAUUUUGUUAGUCGAUCUACAAUCACCCAAAUUGCUGUAUUUCCUCAUUGACUUUUCGGUAAAGCUAUCACAAAAUCCAUCGAUAUGUGAUCUCAUUUCCACUCGGGAAUCUCCAACGGUUUUAACUUCCCAUAGGGUCGUUGGUGUAAUGCUUUCACUUGCUGACAAGCUAAGCAUCGCUCUACAAACGAAGCUAUGUCUCAUUUCAUUCCGUCCCACAAAAAUCUAUUUUUCACAACCUGAUACAUCUUUGUGCCUCCUGGGUGGGCGGUGUAAGGCGUGUCAUGAGUCUCACUCAUGAUCGUAUUCUUAAGUUCAUCAUCGCGGAAAAUGCAUAUUCUCCCCUCAAAUAAAAUAGCAUUGUCUGAUGCUUUUUGGUAACUCUUGAGAUCUCAUGCUCUUAUCCUUUCUCGUAACUUGUUCAUUGUCUCAUCUUUCCUUGUGCUUCAAUCACCUAUUUUUUUUUUUUAAACUAGUCAUCGUCGCAACAAUACUCGUUAUCGUCCCUGGUGGUUUUAUCAUCUCUAUCCUCAUCUUGUCAAAGUCCUUUAUAAGCUCAUCCUCUCUCGUGAGAAGACAUCCUUACUUUGACGAGACCCUUUCGGCUCAAUGCAUUGGUUACUACAUUGGCCUUGCCAGGGUGAUAGUUAAUGUCACAGUUAACAUUAUUUACUAAUUCGAGCCAUCUCCUUUGCCUCAUGUUAAUAUCCUUAUGCUUGAAAAAGUAUUUCAAAGUUUUGUGGUCCGUGAAAAUCUCACAUCUAACUCCGUAGAGAUGAUGUCUCCAAAUUUUCAGGGCAUGCACAACGGCUGCAAGCUCUAAAUCAUGCGUUGGAUAAUUUAUCUCGUGGGGUCUAAGUUGUCGUGAUGCAUAGACUAUAACUCUUCCUUCUUGCAUCAAAACACAUCCUAGCCCAUUCUUUGACGCAUCUGUGUAGAUGGUAUACUCUUUAUCCAUUUCCGGGACUAGCAGCACUGGUGCUGUAGUCAAUUUCCUUUAAGCUCUUAAAAACUCUCUUCACACUCCUCUUUCCAAUUGUACUUAGCUUCUUUUCUAAGUAAUUGUGUCAUCGGUCUUGUUAUUGUAGAAAAUCCUUCAAUAAACCUCUGAUACUAGCUGCGAAUCUCGUUAGGCGUAGUUGGUGAUCUCCACUCAUGUACAGCUUGUACCUUGGCAGGGUCAAUUUUAAUUCAUUCGGAUGAAAUAAUAUGUCCUAGAAAAGUUACUUCGUUCAACCAAAACUCGCACUUGGUGAAUUUGGCAAAAAGCUUCUCAACUCUUAGCGUUUCCAACAUCGUUUUCAAAUGUUUUGGCAUUCCUGCUCAUUCUUCGAAUAGAUGAGAAUAUCAUCUAUGAAAACUAUGACAAAUUUAUCCAGUUAUUGAUGGAACACUCGAUCAUGUGAUCCAUGAAAACUAUUGGUGCCUUCGUCAAACCGAAUCGCAUAACUAUGAACUCAUAGUGCUCAUACCUCAUUUGAAAAGCUGUGUUACGUAUAUCCUCCUGUCAAAAUUUGAACUAGUGGUAUUAUGAUCUCAAGUCAACUUUCAAGAAAAACUCGCUCCUCGUAAUUGAUCAAACAAGUCAUCUAUCCUCGGCAAAGGAUAUUUGUUCUUGAGUGUCAAUUUAUUCAGCUCUCGAUAAUCUAUGCACAUUCUCAACGUGUCAUCCUUCUUUUUGACAAAAAAGACUGGUGCUCCCCACGGGGAUACACUACGUCUAAUAAAACCUAACUCGAGCAAUUCUUGUAGCUGAAUCUUCAGCUCUUGUAGCUCCUUAGGCGCCAUUCUAUAGGGUGCCUUCGACACUAGUGCUGAUCCAGGUUCUAGGUCGAUAGUGAACUCCAACUGUCUUGUUGGUGGCAAUCCUGGUAAGACCUCGGGAAAUANAAAACGGGGCUGCCCUCAUGGGUUUCAUAGCUACGGUUCGUUCCGUUCUUACUUCCUUCAUUAAACAUGCUCAACAUCUACCCAAUAACAACAUACUAAAAUUUCACGACGAUCCGACGUCGUUUCAAAAUAAAGUCGAGAAUCGACGUUUUUCGACGUCGACGAAAAUCGAAAAGAAAACCAUCAAAAUGUAGGUAGAGAUCUUACCUACUUAGAUACGUGAUCGAAAGAUGAUCGGCGCUCGUCUCGGUGCUCAAAUCGGAAGUCAAAAGCUCCGUCCAAGCUUAAAUGGAAAAUGGUGUGUGUAGUGUGUGUUUUAGGUGCCAGUGUGUGUGUUGCGUGUGAUUAGUGAGUGAGUGCAGUGUUUGGCUGAUCUCAGUCAACACUUGGUGAGGGAAAGGGGUUUGGGCGGUUGGGGGUGGUUAGGGGUAGGGUAGGUUUAGAUAUUUAGGAUAUUAAUCCGUUAGUCGUUAAAUAUCUCGUUUCGUCUCGUUUUAACGACUAACUACCCAUACUCUUCGUCACUCGCCCUCUCAACUCUUACUCACUUUCAUUACACUCGUAAUUCUAUACAAAUAUAGAAAACGCAGGCUCGUUCUCGAAAUUCUGAUAAACGAGCUCGGUUUAUUUAUCGAGAAAUCCAAGUUUACUAUUCACUCGUCGUCCAAAAAUAAAAACUUUCAUUAUUGGACUCGUAUCGAAAAACUAAGAAUAUUUCUCAAUGACGUGCACGUAAGAUUUUGAAAGUCGACAAAAAGACGAAAUAGCAGUAUUUUACUAUUCAUCGUCAAAAAGUCAAAAUUUUCAAAAACGUCUUAACGGACUCAGAUCUCACUUCCGAGUUCACCGUUCUCAUUCAAAUAAUUUUCUCGAAUUAUUCGAAUACUCAAACUCAAUUUCGGAUAUAAAAUCUCACAUCAUCCAAACAUCAUCAAAAGAACAUCUCAACAUCUUUUUAAAAAAAAAGAAAGAAAACUUCAUAACUCAUCAUCUAUGUACAAAGUAAUCAAACAAGGGAUCUAUACCCUAAUUACUCAAACUUAAGCAAUUAAACACGUCAUCAAAAGCCCGGGUAUUACAUACCUUCCCCCUUAAAAUAAAUUUCGUCCCGAAAUUUGUACCUCUUGUAAAUGUUUCGGGUACUUCUCUCACAUCUUAUCCUCAAGCUCUCUUUCC